UGAGCAAUCUGCCCUUCUCUUUGGAAUAAGCGUUGGAAACGACGUCUAAUGCCGAAUACGACCUCCUUUCGCAUGAUCGGAGGUGGAAAGCUCCGGCGGAGAAGGAUGAGCUCGCGGCCUAUCAGCUAGUUGGUGUGGGUAAUGGCCCACAAGGUGACGACGGGUAGCCGGCCUGGAGGAGGGUCGACCGGCCACACGUGGGACUGAGACACGGCCCAGACCUCCGUACGGGAGNAGCG
rnacentral:rRNA from 1 species